rnacentral:misc_RNA from 1 species
GAAACGCGAUAUGUAAUGUGAAUUGCAGAAUUCAGUGAAUCAUCGAAUCUUUGAACGCACAUGGCGCCUUCCAGUAUCCUGGGAGGCAUGCCUGUCCGAGCGUCGUUUCAACCCUCGAGCCCCCGUGGCCCGGCGUUGGGGAUCUGCCCAGGCAGUCCCCGAAAACCAGUGGCGGACCCGUUACAUCCCGGGUUUAAAAGUGGGUGGGAGCGCGUUUUCUUCACAGGCGGUGUGCGUGCGUGCGUUGGGGAGACAGAUGAUUGAUUGUGAUUGUGUAUAAUCAAUCACAUCCUCAUCCUCGUCCUCCCCCUCACACCACACACCCCCACAUAACAUACACCAAAUGUGACCUCAACUCAGGUAGGAUUACCCGCUGAAUUUAA